CGGUUCUCUCAACUGUUUCUUUCUUCUCCUGAGAUUGAGACCUCUCAUUGUUCGGAUUUGAAAAUCCAACUAUUGUAAUAGAACAGGCAGCGCUCGGGGGCUGUGUGUGGCUGUGCGUGUGGGUGGCGGAGUGAGAAAGACACAGAGGAGCGCUAACCAGUAAAAGCACAGCCCCCUUCAUUGUCGACACACUGUGCCAACAAGAUCAAAGAGCCAUUCCAGAUGGAGGUCAAGAGGACUUCGAAACUUAGGUGCUAGCCAAACUAGUGAUUAACUGCAAUGGAAAAGUAAUUGUUUGUCUGCUUUACGACAGAUUGCUCAGGACUUCUCAAUUUUUAACCCAGCGAAACUCGCUGAGAACUGGAUUGCGGUCUUCGUGUACAAAAUACUUUGCUUCGCCAGCCGAGAGAAGCAGGUCCAAGAUCUUUUCUUCGAAGAGCAGGAAAGGUAACAUCGCCUUAAGACUUCUGUCAAUGGCAGGAAGACAUUCUUACCCGGCUUCGAAGAGACCAGAAAGUCCUUCAUCAACUUGUUGGGACCAACAUGGUUGAGUACCUGCACCAGGCAAAGGUGACCAGACCCUACCUAUUUGUGUUGGCUCUUGGGGACAAUUGUCUCUGCUCACAGGUGUUUACAGUCAUUAGCGGACAGGCAUUGGAGCAAGGUACACUUUUUGGUGCACUGGAUCAGUGCUUGAAGUUCUAUUAUGUGUUUGAUAUCAACUUUCCCAGACUGUGUGCCCCAGCAUGGGAAUUCCUACAUGCCACGGUGUAUCAGCUGCCAGGCUGUUGUGAGAAUACAUUUUUUUCCACUGAACAAGAAUGUAUAAGUACCUGCUCUUGUAUGUAGUGGGAGAAGUGACAGGAUAAUUGUUUGUGUUCCUGUGAGUUUGUCACAUCCUGACCAUAGUUUGCUUUGUAUAUUUCUAUGUUUUGUUUGGUCAGGCUGUGAUCUGAGUGGGCAUUCUAUGUUG